UUCAAUGGCUUUUGCUACAACUUCAGAGUGUUGUCUACAGCCUGAAAUCCACAGGAAAGCUCAUUCUCAAGGCUCUGACCUUUAAAGGGACAUCAUGACAUGACCUACAUGGUCCGCUUCAAGAACAAAAGAUUCCAACACCAAGAAGUUUGCAACAACCAAUCACACAACAACCAUCUCCUUUUAGUAUAAAAAGCCUGAAUUCUAAAUUGGAGGCCAAGAAACCAACCCAGCAAUGAGCCAGCUCUCAAGGCCGACCUCCAAUCCUGCUCCUUUCCAGUAGCUGAGGUGUUAGCUAACGAGCAUUCGGCUUCUGCUUUCCCAUCCUUCCUGGCAACAGUCUCAACCCUCCCUGAUGGUGAGCAACGCAAGUUCCAGGCAUGCCUUGCUUCAUCGCUGGCUGCCCAGGUGUCACUUAAAC